GUCCUCCCCUCUUUUCGUGAAAGUGAGGAGCCUCAUUCUUACACUCUUAUGAUCAUCCAGCUGUUGAUUUAACCUUAACAACUUGAGACCAAGUUUCAGGGAACUUGAGAUCCAUCCCUGCUCCUUCCAGAAGAGAUGGGGAGAUGCUGAUCUGGAGAAGCUGAUACUUUCAAGAGAGGAGAAAGAAAAGAACUCUAUCCACUGUUCCUCAUAGCUGCCUCCAAGGAAGAGGGUCAAGUCUUCAUUUAUCUACUUGAGAUACAAUGUCAUCUUUAAGAGACAGCAACGAAGAAAAUGGCUUGCACCUCAGGAUGAUUUUCUGAUAUGCCUACAAUAUUUAUCGAUGAGGAAACUGAGUCCCAUGGGCAUGAAGAGACUUAUCCAAGGUCAUUCAGGCUAUCAUUGACCAGUAAAGCCAAGAUUCAAAUUCAGCAUGCCCUGGUUUCCAUAAUGCAGACAGCUUGCGUGCCUGCUGCUGAAAGGCGACGCUCCAUCUCCAGCGCUCACGAAUGGGAGGCCAGGAGCGGCUUUGACUUUCUUUUGGUGAGUUCUUCCACUUUGUGCUUCCACUACCUGAAAGCCAGGCGGGCAGACCUGGACCACUGGCGAAGGCACUCGCCUCCACGGCUGAAAACGAGCCGGCCCGAUGAUUUAUGGUGGGCAAGGGCUGAUGACAUAAAUCUCCUAAAGGGGCCUGACGCAGAGCUGCCCCUGCGAGAAGGCGACAGACGGCUCAAUGGCUGCAGAAUCCUGCUGAUGCUGAACAGACCCACCAAGAUAUAAAAUCUUCAAAAAGCAUAACUCCCCAAACAUGCUUGAAUUUAUGUUUACCAUAACUUGUGGCCGACGAAACACAGCGAAUGGCUGGCCCUGGGAGGUGUCUGAAAGCCUGCCCGCCUGCACAAGAAAGGAAACCUCCUUCCCUGGGGUGUUCCAACAUACUCCCAAGAACCAAAGGAAUAACAAAUAACUUUCAGAUGGGUUCCAUUUCCUUCUGCAUCUCUUCAUUUCCCUCUUUGAUAGCUGAGAGAAGGCAAUGUUUCGGGCACCUUCAUUUCAGCAAAUUUGUGUUACGUUUGCCUGAGCUACCAGACCCUGCUGGGUCAGACACUAGACAUAGAGACAAAAAUGGACCAAAGCCUGCCCUCAGGAGAGUCACCUUCUACUGUGGGGAACAGCUGGCUUAGUGAGAAGCAACAAGUGAUUUCCCAAAUGCAAUCCACUGCACUCUUCUUUAUAUUCCAGUCUGUGACCGGCUGAUUUUUUUUUUUUAAUCUGUAUAAUUUGGCGCAUCCUUCCUCCAUUUUGGUUUUCCUGUGUGUAUCAUUAGGACAAUAUCUUCUGAAGAGAUGUGGAUUUUGCUGAGGAAUCCCAUAAUGUUGUGGGAUUUGGUGCAAUCGACAUAUCAUCAUCCCCAAGUAAAAGCACAAGUAAAAGCAUGAAAUGACUUCGUUCUCUACAAGAAGCCCUUCUUCCGUGAGCACGUUAGUCUAGAUCAGCUCCCUGACAUGGAGAACAUGUUUAGACACUCUCUAGCUCUCUGUUUUAUGACCUGCUUGACAGGAAACAGCACCACAACAACUCAUGUUAAUAUACUGUCUUAAGCAAAGCCUUUUACAAACUUUCUUACCUUUGGCUCCUGAAAUACCGCUGUGAAGGAGGUGCUUUUAUUCCCAUUAUACAAUGGGGGAAACUGAGUCUUAGAGAGAUUAAAUAACUUAGUAAGGGUCACACCGUCUGUAAUCAAGCAUGUAAUGAAAUUAUAAAAAGUAAUGAAAAUAAC
ensembl:lncRNA